rnacentral:rRNA from 1 species
GCUUCAUUCAAAUAUCUGCCCUAUCAACUUUCGAUGGUAGGAUAGUGGCCUACCAUGGUUUUAACGGGUAACGGGGAAUAAGGGUUCGAUUCCGGAGAGGGAGCCUGAGAAACGGCUACCACAUCCAAGGAAGGCAGCAGGCGCGCAAAUUACCCAAUCCCGACCGGGGAGGUAGUGACAAUAAAUAACAAUAUAGGGCUCUUUUGGGUCUUAUAAUUGGAAUGAGUACAAUUUAAACCCCUUAGCGAGGAACAAUUGGAGGGCAAGUCUGGUGCCAGCAGCCGCGGUAAUUCCAGCUCCAAUAGCGUAUAUUAAAGUUGUUGCAGUUAAAAAGCUCGUAGUUG